GCCGUGGUGGCGAAAUUGGCAGACGCGCUACGUUCAGGUCGUAGUGAGAGCAAUCUCAUGGGAGUUCAAAUCUCCCCCACGGCA
rnacentral:tRNA from 1 species